GACGAUCAGAUACCGUCGUAGUCUUAACUAUAAAUGUUGCAAACCAGGGAUAGGACAGUGUCCAUCUCGACUCCUCAUGGACCUUGGAGAAAUUACGAGUCUAUGGGUUCUGGGGGGAGUAUGGUCGCAAGGCUGAAACUUAAAGGAAUUGACGGAAGGGCACACAAAGAGUGGAACCUGCGGCUUAAUUUGACUCAACACGGGAAAACUCACCAGGUCCGGAUACACGUAUGAAAGUCAAGCUGAAAGACUUUACUCAAUGAUGUAAGUGGUGGUGCAUGGUCGCUCUAGUUCGUGGAUUGAUUUGUCUGGUCUAUUCCGAUAACGAGCGAGACCCCGACGUUCCUAAUAGGGGUGGCAGCCAGACCGGUCGCAAGGCCGGUUAGCUCGCCGCCUGAAGUUAUACUUCUUAGUCGCAUCAGAGCCGAUAAGGUUCUUGAAAUGGGUUAAUAACAGGUCAGUCAUGCCCUUAGAUGUUCUGGGCCGCACGCGCGUUACAAUGGCAUGUA
rnacentral:rRNA from 1 species